rnacentral:rRNA from 1 species
GNAACGNNNCNGCAGUCGACGAUUCUACGGGAGGCAGCAGUGGGGAAUCUUGCGCAAUGGGCGAAAGCCUGACGCAGCAACGCCGCGUGGGGGAAGAAGGCCUUCGGGUUGUAAACCUCUUUCAGUAGGGACGAAGCUUCCGGGGUUAAUAGCCUACGGGGUGACGGUACCUACAGAAGAAGCCCCGGCUAACUACGUGCCAGCAGCCGCGGUAAUACGUAGGGGGCAAGCGUUGUCCGGAAUCAUUGGGCGUAAAGCGCGUGUAGGCGGCUUGGUAAGUCUGGCGUGAAAUCUUGGGGCUCAACCCCAAGCGUGCGCUGGAUACUGCCUCGCUCGAGUCCGGGAGAGGAAAGCGGAAUUCCCAGUGUAGCGGUGAAAUGCGCAGAUAUUGGGAAGAACACCGGUGGCGAAGGCGGCUUUCUGGAACGGUACUGACGCUGAGACGCGAAAGCGUGGGGAGCAAACAGGAUUAGAUACCCUGGUAGUCCACGCCGUAAACGAUGGGCACUAGUUGUGGGCGGUGUCGACUCCGUCCGUGACGAAGCUAACGCAUUAAGUGCCCCGCCUGGGGAGUACGGCCGCGAGGCUAAAACUCAAAGGAAUUGACGG